CCUACGUGAGGCAGCAGUGGGGAAUAUUGGGCAAUGGGCGCAAGCCUGACCCAGCAACGCCGCGUGAAGGAAGAAGGCUUUCGGGUUGUAAACUUCUUUUAAGAGGGAAGAGCAGAAGACGGUACCUCUUGAAUAAGCCACGGCUAACUACGUGCCAGCAGCCGCGGUAAUACGUAGGUGGCAAGCGUUGUCCGGAUUUACUGGGUGUAACGGGCGUGCAGCCGGGAAGACAAGUCAGAUGUGAAAUCCCGCGGCGCAACCGCGGACCUGCAUUUGAAACUGUUUUUCUUGAGUACCGGAGAGGUCAUCGGAAUUCCUUGUGUAGCGGUGAAAUGCGUAGAUAUAAGGAAGAACACCAGUGGCGAAGGCGGAUGACUGGACGGCAACUGACGGUGAGGCGCGAAAGCGUGGGGAGCAAACAGGAUUAGAUACCCCAGUAGUC
rnacentral:rRNA from 1 species